UGAUGCUGCCAUCACCUCAAUUUAAUUCUAAGGUGAAUAUUAAUGAUCAUCUCUCUCAGACUGCCAGGCAGAGGGAAGGGAUUACAUUGCCAGGUAAAUAAAUAAAG